AGAGUUUGAUCAUGGCUCAGAUUGAACGCUGGCGGCAUGCCUUACACAUGCAAGUCGAACGGCAGCGCGGGCUUCGGCCUGGCGGCGAGUGGCGAACGGGUGAGUAAUAUAUCGGAACGUGCCCAGGAGUGGGGGAUAACUAGUCGAAAGAUUAGCUAAUACCGCAUACGAUCUACGGAUGAAAGUGGGGGAUCGCAAGACCUCAUGCUCCUGGAGCGGCCGAUAUCUGAUUAGCUAGUUGGUGGGGUAGAGGCCUACCAAGGCGACGAUCAGUAGCUGGUCUGAGAGGACGACCAGCCACACUGGGACUGAGACACGGCCCAAACUCCUACGGGAGGCAGCAGUGGGGAAUUUUGGACAAUGGGGGCAACCCUGAUCCAGCAAUGCCGCGUGUGUGAAGAAGGCCUUCGGGUUGUAAAGCACUUUUGUCAGGGAAGAAACGGUGAGGGCUAAUAUCCCUUGCUAAUGACGGUACCUGAAGAAUAAGCACCGGCUAACUACGUGCCAGCAGCCGCGGUAAUACGUAGGGUGCAAGCGUUAAUCGGAAUUACUGGGCGUAAAGCGUGCGCAGGCGGUUGUGUAAGUCAGAUGUGAAAUCCCCGGGCUCAGCCUGGGAAUUGCAUUUGAGACUGCACGGCUAGAGUGUGUCAGAGGGGGGUAGAACUCC
rnacentral:rRNA from 1 species